ACAUAUCUCCCUGUGCAGUUAUGCAAAAAUUUGAGCAUGCAAUUGUCGCCAAAAGAAGCUGCUAUCUUUGGAAAAAAACUAAAGUCGCCAAAAGGUGGGAUACUAUGCCAAUUCCAGCAUCCAUGCGUAUCAAAACUGACCUUAAAGAGCUCUGCAAAAAGGGAGAAGCAGGAAGCCUCACUUGGGGGCACUAGGGAAUGGGAACAGCGAAAUAAAUAAAGGAUGGAUGCAAAGAAGCCAUCUGCAGAAAUUUCCCAGACUGUGGUAGGUUGAGAAGCAAAAGAAUCCGGUUUUCUAUACUUGUGGUGUCAUCUGGCGGCUAACACAGGAACUAGAUGACCAGAAAGAGAUGAAAAUAAACGAAGCACUUUAUUGGGAGAAUGGAUACAGGAAAUCGGAAACAAACUUGGCCUAGUAAAAUAGUAGCUAUCUAUCGGCAGAUUAAGAAUUGACUUCGGCAUGGACGGAAACUAAAGCUUGUAAAUAGAUGUAUUUUAAAAUACCCACAAAUUUUAUAAAUUAUUCCAGUUAUUAUAAUUAAAUUAUGAAAGAAAUACAUACUUGAAUCAUUUAAAUAUUAAUAUUUAACUUCACAUAAAUGAAUAUAAGUUUCUGAUAUUCGUCUUUAAAUCAAAAAUAUAAAAAAUGUAAAUAAACGUUUUACGUUU